rnacentral:rRNA from 1 species
AAGGAUGUGGGAUUGCACAGACAACCAGGAUGUUGGCUUAGAAGCAGCCACUCAUUCAAAGAGUGCGUAAUAGCUCACUGGUCGAGUGAUCCUGCGCCGAAGAUUUCCGGGGCUAAAACUUACUACCGAAGCUACGGCAUCAGUAAUGAUGGGUAGGGGAGCUUCCCAUACGGGUUGAAGCAUGACCGUAAGGACAUGUGGACAGUAUGGGAGUGAGAAUGUUGGCAUGAGUAGCGAGAUGUGGGUGAGAAUCCCACAGGCCGUAAACCCAAGGUUUCCAGGGAAGGUUCGUCCGCCCUGGGUUAGUCGGGACCUAAGCUGAGGCCGAAAGGCGUAGGUGAUGGACAACAGGUUGAUAUUCCUGUACUACCGAUAACCGUUUGAGAGAUGGGAUGACACAGUAGGAUAAGCUAAGCACACUGUUGGUUAUGUGUGCCCAAGCAUUGAGGCAGUCAAAGUAGGCAAAUCCGCUUUGAUAAUGCUGGGAUGUGAUGGGGAGCGAAAUUUAGUAGCGAAGUAGUUGAUUUCACACUGUCAAGAAAAGUCUCUAUCGAGGUUAAAGGUACCCGUACCGCAAACCGACACAGGUGGGUGAGGAGAGUAUCCUAAGGCCAGCGAGAGAACUGUUGUUAAGGAACUCGGCAAAAUGACCCCGUAACUUAGGGAUAAGGGGUGCCACCAUCAGGUGGCCGCAGAGAAUAGGCCCAAGCGACUGUUUACCAAAAACAUAGGUUUCUGCUAAGUCGCAAGACGAUGUAUAGGAGCUGACGCCUGCCCGGUGCUGGAAGGUUAAGGGGAUCUGUUAGAGUAAUCGAAGCAGUGAACUUAAGCCCCAGUAAACGGCGGCCGUAACUAUAACGGUCCUAAGGUAGCGAAAUUCCUUGUCGGGUAAGUUCCGACCCGCACGAAAGGCGUAACGAUUUGGGCACUGUCUCAACAACAGACUCGGUGAAAUUGUAAUUCCGGUGAAGAUGCCGGAUACCUGCGACAGGACGGAAAGACCCCAUGGAGCUUUACUGUAGCUUGACAUUGGGUCUUGGUACUACAUGUACAGGAUAGGUGGGAGGCUUUGAAACCAGGACGCCAGUUUUGGCGGAGCCAUCCUUGGGAUACCACCCUUGUAGUACUGGGACUCUAACCAUAGGCCAUGAAUCUGGUCUUGGGACACUGUCAGGUGGGCAGUUUGACUGGGGCGGUCGCCUCCCAAAAGGUAACGGAGGCGCUCAAAGGUUCUCUCAGUACGGUCGGAAAUCGUACGUAGAGUGUAAAGGCAAAAGAGAGCUUGAUUGCAAGACAUACAGGUCGAGCAAGGAUGAAAAUCGGACUUAGUGAUCCGGUGGUUCUGCGUGGAAGGGCCAUCGCUCAACGGAUAAAAGCUACCCUGGGGAUAACAGGCUUAUCUCCCCCAAGAGUCCACAUCGACGGGGAGGUUUGGCACCUCGAUGUCGGCUCAUCACAUCCUGGGGCUGUAGUAGGUCCCAAGGGUUGGGCUGUUCGCCCAUUAAAGUGGUACGCGAGCUGGGUUCAGAACGUCGUGAGACAGUUCGGUCCCUAUCCGUCGCAGGCGUAGGAAAUUUGAGAAGACCUGUCCUUAGUACGAGAGGACCGGGAUGGACGUACCUCUGGUGUACCAGUUGUCCUGCCAAGGGCAUGGCUGGGUAGCUAUGUACGGAAUGGAUAAGCGCUGAAAGCAUCUAAGCGCGAAGCCAACUUCAAGAUAAGAUUUCCCACCGCAAGGGUAAGACCCCAGAAAGACUAUCUGGUUGAUAGGUCGAAGGUGUAAGUGCAGCAAUGUAUUUAGCUUAUCGAUACUAAUAGGUCGAGGACUUGACCAA